rnacentral:rRNA from 1 species
GAACGAACGCUGGCGGCAUGCCUAACACAUGCAAGUCGAACGAGACCUUCGGGUCUAGUGGCGCACGGGUGCGUAACGCGUGGGAAUCUGCCCUUGGGUUCGGGAUAACAGUUGGAAACGACUGCUAAUACCGGAUGAUGACUUCGGUCCAAAGAUUAUCGCCCAGGGGUGGGCCCGGGUCGGAUUAGGUAGUUGGUGAGGUAAGAGCUGACCAAGGCGACGAUCCGUAGCUGGUCUGAGAGGAUGAUCAGCCACACUGGGACUGAGACACGGCCCAGACUCCUACGGGAGGCAGCAGUGGGGAAUAUUGGACAAUGGGCGAAAGCCUGAUCCAGCAAUGCCGCGUGAGUGAUGAAGGCCUUAGGGUUGUAAAGCUCUUUUACCCGGGAUGAUAAUGACAGUACCGGGAGAAUAAGCCCCGGCUAACUCCGUG